GCUUUGGUGGGGUGGUGGUAACCUGGGUCGUUGCCAUAUCUGUUUUCUUAACACUAUCGGGUUCGACCCGCCGGGGGUUCGAUUCCCUCCCAAAGCA